rnacentral:rRNA from 1 species
AGCUACACUGCAGCCGAGCGGUGAAGAUCUUCGGAUCUUUGAGAGCGGCGUACGGGUGCGGAACACGUGUGCAACCUGCCUUUAUCAGGGGGAUAGCCUUUCGAAAGGAAGAUUAAUACCCCAUAAUAUAAUGAGUGGCAUCACUUAUUAUUGAAAACUCCGGUGGAUAGAGAUGGGCACGCGCAAGAUUAGAUAGUUGGUAGGGUAACGGCCUACCAAGUCAGUGAUCUUUAGGGGGCCUGAGAGGGUGAUCCCCCACACUGGUACUGAGACACGGACCAGACUCCUACGGGAGGCAGCAGUGAGGAAUAUUGGACAAUGGGUGAGAGCCUGAUCCAGCCAUCCCGCGUGAAGGACGACGGCCCUAUGGGUUGUAAACUUCUUUUGUAUAGGGAUAAACCUUUCCACGUGUGGAAAGCUGAAGGUACUAUACGAAUAAGCACCGGCUAACUCCGUGCCAGCAGCCGCGGUAAUACGGAGGGUGCAAGCGUUAUCCGGAUUUAUUGGGUUUAAAGGGUCCGUAGGCGGAUCUGUAAGUCAGUGGUGAAAUCUCAUAGCUUAACUAUGAAACUGCCAUUGAUACUGCAGGUCUUGAGUAAAGUAGAAGUGGCUGGAAUAAGUAGUGUAGCGGUGAAAUGCAUAGAUAUUACUUAGAACACCAAUUGCGAAGGCAGGUCACUAUGUUUUAACUGACGCUGAUGGACGAAAGCGUGGGGAGCGAACAGGAUUAGAUACCCUGGUAGUCCACGCCGUAAACGAUGCUAACUCGUUUUUGGGUUUUCGGAUUCAGAGACUAAGCGAAAGUGAUAAGUUAGCCACCUGGGGAGUACGUUCGCAAGAAUGAAACUCAAAGGAAUUGACGGGGGCCCGCACAAGCGGUGGAUUAUGUGGUUUAAUUCGAUGAUACGCGAGGAACCUUACCAAGGCUUAAAUGGGAAUUGACAGGUUUAGAAAUAGACUUUUCUUCGGACAAUUUUCAAGGUGCUGCAUGGUUGUCGUCAGCUCGUGCCGUGAGGUGUUAGGUUAAGUCCUGCAACGAGCGCAACCCCUGUCACUAGUUGCCAUCAUUCAGUUGGGGACUCUAGUGAGACUGCCUACGCAAGUAGAGAGGAAGGUGGGGAUGACGUCAAAUCAUCACGGCCCUUACGCCUUGGGCCACACACGUAAUACAAUGGCCGGUACAGAGGGCAGCUACCUAGCGAUAGGAUGCGAAUCUCGAAAGCCGGUCUCAGUUCGGAUUGGAGUCUGCAACUCGACUCUAUGAAGCUGGAAUCGCUAGUAAUCGCGCAUCAGCCAUGGCGCGGUGAAUACGUUCCCGGGCCUUGUACACACCGCCCGUCAAGCCAUGGAAGUUUGGGGUACCUGAUAGUCGGUGACCGUAACAGGAGC